rnacentral:rRNA from 1 species
AACUUUUACAAUGCUGGAAACAGCGAUAAGGGGACCUCGAGUGCCAGGUUACAAAUCUGGCUGUCGUGAUGCCUAAAAAGCAUUGCAUAGCAAGGCCGGCAAGACCGGUGCCAGCCGCCGCGGUAACACCGGCGGCUCGAGUGGUAACCGCUAUUAUUGGGUCUAAAGGGUCUGUAGCCGGCCGGAUAAGUCUUUUGGGAAAUCUGGCAGCUUAACUGUCAGGCUUUCAGAGGAUACUGUCUGGCUCGAGGCCGGGAGAGGUGAGAGGUACUUCAGGGGUAGGGGUGAAAUCUUGUAAUCCUUGAAGGACCACCAGUGGCGAAGGCGUCUCACCAGAACGGACCUGACGGCAAGGGACGAAAGCUAGGGGCACGAACCGGAUUAGAUACCCGGGUAG